rnacentral:rRNA from 1 species
CUACGGGUUGCUCCAGGCGAGAAAACUUUGCAAUGUGCGAAAGCACGACAAGGUUAAUCCGAGUGGUUUCUGCUAAAGGAACCUUUUGACAGUCCUAGAAACACUGUUGAAUAAGGGGUGGGCAAGUUCUGGUGUCAGCCGCCGCGGUAAAACCAGCACCUCAAGUGGUCAGGAUGAUUAUUGGGCCUAAAGCAUCCGUAGCCGGCUCUGUAAGUUGUCGGUUAAAUCUGUACGCUCAACGUACAGGCUGCCGGGAAUACUGCAGAGCUAGGGAGUGGGAGAGGUAGACGGUACUCGGUAGGAAGGGGUAAAAUCCUUUGAUCUAUUGAUGACCACCUGUGGCGAAGGCGGUCUACCAGAACACGUCCGACGGUGAGGGAUGAAAGCUGGGGGAGCAAACCGGAUUAGAUACCCGCGUAGUC